rnacentral:rRNA from 1 species
CCUACGGGUGGCAGCAGUGAGGAAUAUUGGUCAAUGGGCUUACGCCUGAACCAGCCAAGUCGCGUGAGGGAAGACUGCCCUAUGGGUUGUAAACCUCUUUUGUCAGGGAGCAACGCCGGCUACGUGUAGCCGGACUGAGAGGACCUGAAGAAAAAGCAUCGGCGAACUCCGUGCCAGCAGCCGCGGUAAUACGGAGGAGGCGAGCGUUAUCCGGAUUGAUUGGGUUUAAAGGGUGCGUAGGCGGAAUGCCAAGUAAGGGGUAAAGUCGGGGGGCUCAACCUCGCUCCGCCGUUGAAACUGGCGGUCGUGAGUGGGCGAGAAGUAUGCGGAAUGCGUGGUGUAGCGGUGAAAUGCAUAGAUAUCACGCAGAACUCCGAUUGCGAAGGCAGCAUACCGGCGCCCAACUGACGCUGAAGCACGAAAGCGUGGGUAUCGAACAGGAUUAGAUACCCCAGUAGUC